CCUACGGGGGCUGCAGUGGGGAAUAUUGGACAAUGGGCGAAAGCCUGCUCCAGCCAUGCCGCGUGUGUGAAGAAGGCCUUCGGGUUGUAAAGCACUUUCAGUGGGGAAGAAAGCCUUGGGGCUAAUACCCUCGAGGAAGGACAUCACCCACAGAAGAAGCACCGGCUAACUCCGUGCCAGCAGCCGCGGUAAUACGGAGGGUGCGAGCGUUAAUCGGAAUUACUGGGCGUAAAGCGCGCGUAGGCGGUCUGAUAAGCCGGUUGUGAAAGCCCCGGGCUCAACCUGGGAACGGCAUCCGGAACUGUCAGGCUAGAGUGCAGGAGAGGAAGGUAGAAUUCCCGGUGUAGCGGUGAAAUGCGUAGAGAUCGGGAGGAAUACCAGUGGCGAAGGCGGCCUUCUGGACUGACACUGACGCUGAGGUGCGAAAGCGUGGGUAGCAAACAGGAUUAGAUACCCUAGUAGUC
rnacentral:rRNA from 1 species